GGGAGGACUGCCUAGAUCCCAUACCAAUACUAAGCCAUCUUCCAUAAGGUCCACGAGCACCUUCUGAGUUUGAUAUUCACAAGAAAUCCAAGAACGAAUCUCAGUUGAUAUGGAUGUAAGUUAUAUAUUGUGUGUGACCAAUGUGCUGCAAAGUAUGCACAUGAGGGGAUGGGUGCAGAUACCUAUUUUGAGACAUGCUCUCUCAUUAAAUCAGAAGGUCCCGAUUUUACCCCUUGGCAAGGGUGGUUAAGACGACUAGGAGGAAAUACAAAUCCUGAAAUGUCUAAUGAGAGAAAAUUAGUUUAUUUCUAUAAAUGAGAUGGUAACAUGGCAACACGCUAAGUUCAAGAAAGAAUUACCUUUGAUCUACUUCUGAAGAGCACUGAACAAAAUGAAUUAUGGGAGAAGAGGGUUGGAGCUUUUCCACAUUGAGGACAGCACUCAUAGGGUUGGCAGAAUCUUCUCUGCUGCAGUUUAUACACAUGAAAGGAGGUGCAGUGUGCUCUUAAUGAUGCUAGCCUCAAAAUUCCUACUCUAAAUCUUUAGAUGUUUCUCAGGGUGGUUCUGAUAUGGAAAUUUAAUCUGAGUAAUCAGUUGCCAGACUAAUUUAUUUCUGCUUUCAUGUAACUUUAGAUUUUAGCGCUAUGCCUCUAGAGUGCUUGAUAGUCUCCUGUUUCUUUACAUUUAAGAUACUUAUUUUACAUGUUAAAUUCUUAUAGCUAAUCUUAUUUGCAAAGUAAAGCAUUUAUCUUUGGCUAUUCUCAUAUUUAGUCUGAUUUCAUGUCAAUUGCAUGUGGUUUGCUCAUUUUGCUUUCUCUCACUUAUUUUAUUGACUGAUCCAUUGUGGCUCUAGAAUUACAUUAAUAACUUCAUCUUUGUUUCUUUCUCUCUGAAUUUUGGCAUAAUACUGCAAGCUUUUUAGUGAGGACCCAUGCACUCCUUUAUAUGUGAAUUGCUCUCUUCCCUACAGGUAUGUCUGAGCCCCCAUAGAGCAACUGGCCUCCAAAGUCUUUCUCAAUGCUCUUUGUUUUCCCACCUGCAUCCAGGUUGUGUAUACCAGACUUUGUUGACUUCCCAAGGGAAGCCUUAGCCCCUCUGAGGAGUGGAUGGGGAGGGGAGAGAAGGAAAGGGAGAAGGAACUGGGGAUAAUACUUAAAAUGGAAAUAAUUAAAUUUAAAAAUAUUGCAUAAACAAACCAACAAAAAUACUCUUUGUCUUUAUGGUACAGCCAUUACUUAUUACAAGAUGAGUGAACUUGGCCCAGUACAUUCUCUCUCAAGAGUUCACCAAAGGGACUUAAAGUCACUUUCAAGUUCUAACAAAAGUAGUUUCCAAGUAUAGUUCUAGAUUCUCCUCGGAAAUAUAAGGAGACAGAGUUCUGAAAACCAUGCAUCUUGGAAAUAAUUUCCCUCUUUAUAGUCUACAAUAAUGUUUUAUGAUUUGCCUAAGCUCAUGUAUCAAGAGAAAUGAGUGCAGCCUCCUAUGUGUCUGCUCACUCCAACCUGCGUGUAGAGGAUCAGGAAAUAUGUGAAGUGUUUAAAACUGAUGAAAGACAAUUUUCUGCUUGAAGAGCAGAAAUUUGAUUGCAAGUUGCAUAUAAUGAAUACCCACACAUGGCAGGAUUGUAAAGGAAAGAUAAAGGAUUUAAAAGGCAUUUGAGACUGUUCAGCUUUUGAAGUUUUUACAGAGUUAAGCCCUUGUCAAGCAGACUUAGCAAAGGAGAGUGAAUCUGUUGUCAUCCACAGAAAUGGCUUUCCCUUUUGAACAGAAGGCACUAUGUUUUGACCCUUAAGAAUUUAGGAAUAAAAUAAAUAACAUUCUUAUGUGUAUAGCAAAAGUCCAAAGAUUUUUAUACCAAAGGAUUCUGAUAGUGGAAAAGUGGCAUGGGAUGGUCCAAACAAAGUUAAUACCUUCACAGUCUAAUACUGGGAGCUGAGGGGUGUAUUUGUCAAAUUCAGGAUGCUCACUGAACUUAGAAAAAACAUUGUGAGUGUGAAACAUGGGAUGAUCUCGUGCUAAAGAUUCAUGUAUUUGUGUAGACUAUGAAAAGAAACAAAAGAUUGCUUUUUCAUUUAACGAUUUAUAAACAGCAAGCAGUGACAAGACAGCUACUCAUAGAAAUUUGCAAGACACAGCUUCUUAGAACAUAAUGGUAUCAAAUGCUUACACACAGAUGAGGAGAGGGUGGCAAUUAAAGAGCUAAGAUGUCCUUGUAAGGAAAAACAAUAAAAAAUCAAGUAAAAAUAAUUGAAACUAAAACAGCAGAAAGGAGUAACUAACUAUGAGGAUGAAUUGCUAAAAAUGAGAUGAUUGUACCAUAGGUCCAUCAGUAAUCCUACCUAAUAUUUUGUUUAACAGAUAACUAAGGCAUACAAAACUUUCAUUUGUAAAGACCCAGGAAAUAAGAAUAUAUAGAUGUUUGUAGAGAAACAUGUCCCUGCAUUAGAAAAUGAAUGAGAUUGACACUGAAGCAAUUUUUCAAGGAAUCUGAUUGCUUCAAGAAAGAAUUUUCCAGUUAUUUUUAUUUAAAAGAAAGUUGCAUUUCUCUUGUUUUCUUCCCGCUCCCCUUUCCUCCUUCCUACUUCCUUCCUCAAUGCCCCUCGUGCUCCCAUAAUCCUUCUUCGAGGGAUUAUGCAAACUUCUCUUGGGGGUCCUCCUUGUUUCCUAGCUCCUCUGGCAGCAUGAAUUGUAGACUGGCAAUCCUUUGCUCUGUGUCUAAAGAUCAUAUAUGAGUGAGUACAUACCAUGUUUAUCCUUUUGUGACUGGGUUACCUCACUCAGGAUGGUUUCUUCUAGUUCCACAACUAAGAUCCAGGCAAUGGUGGAGAGGAUGCCAUUGAUGCCCUUCCCUAAUAAUGCGAUUGAUGGCUACCUUGGUUACCAUUACUAGAGCCUUCAUGCAGUAACUGUUCCAAGCAGAGACAGGCACCCAUAGCUAAGCACUGAACCAUACUCCUGGAAUCCAGUUGUGGAGAGAGAGAAAAGGGAUGAACAAAGGAGCCAUGACAGUGCUAGAGAAACAGUUGACCAGACCUACUGAGAGCAUGGAGACCCUAGUUAUAAAGCUGGGGAAACAGCAUUGGACUGAACUUGACCCUCUGAAAAUGGGUGCCAGCUAGAAGGCCAAGGUAGUCUAUGAGACCUCAAACAGUGGAGCCAAUGUUUAUCCCUAGAGCACAAAUGGACUUCCGCACUGCAGGAGUCCUAUCCAGAAGCUUUCUACCUGUGCCCAAAUGAUGGAAUACACUCAAUAGUUUAUCCUUCAGAAGUUUCAGAGUUCCAGGUCUUAUAUUAGGUCCUAGAUCCACUUAUUGAGCUUUGUGCAGAUAAGAAAUAAGUGUUUAGUUUCAGUUUUGGUGGGUUGAAACCCAGGUUUCCCAGGUCUUGAAGUUGAUUGAGAGGUGGGUGGCACUGGAGAAGGUAGCAGGGAGGUGACGUUGGACAGAUAUGAUUAAAAACAUUUUAUAGAUGAAUGAAAAUUUCAAAAAAUAAAAAUAUUCUCAAAAUAAAAUUUAAAAUUGUUCAAGGAAUAGACAAUUCUAAACUAAGGAUUUUUUUAAGAGUCUAGAUGAAUAGAAACUCAUGAAUUAGAGCUUUGUGGAGCUUCACACCUUUAAUCCCAACACUAGUAGGGGUUAAAGGAGGCAGACACAGGUGGUGCUCCACGAGUUUGAAGUUAGCAUGGUAUGCAUUGCAAUUUAAGACCAACCAAGGCUAAAUAAAGAGACUCUGUCUAAAAAAACUAUUGUGGAAACACAUUGUAAAGCUAAUAGCAAACAUAGUACAAAAUUACAAAAUAUAUCUUAACUACUUUGUACUUAUUGCUUGCCUAUAAAAUAGUUAUUUGAUGUAAUUUAUCAAAACAGAUGGAAAAAGAAAAAAAAAACUCCAUGAUCAUCAUGACAGAUAAAAUAUAUGAAUUUCAUUGAUUUAUGACAAGAUCAAAUUCUGACAAGAAUUUGUCAACUGAAAUAGAUGUAAAACAAAAGGAAUUGUGAUGGCUGGGGAAAAGAUAACUUGAAAUUUUUUGGAAAACAAAUUAGCAUUAUUCAAGAAUGUAUGCACCCUGGCACAGGUCUAUUCUAUUCAUGGAUGUGUAUAGUUCACCUGUAACUGCACAGACCUAUUCUGUUCAUAGGUGUAUAUAACUCACCUCUUUCAUCUCGGCAUCUGGUCACAUUGAGAAAAAUAUGUUCAGAACAGCAUGGAAUGGUUUUAAAAUUUCUAAAAUUAAGUAGUAUUGAGUUUCUAUUACCUAACAGAUGUUCACUAAUACACCACUGAUCAACUUUACUAACUCACAUGGGUUUUGUAGGUAUGAAAUCUGAGCUGGGUCCACCUGGAUUCUGUGCUCUUGGCCUCAUGAGACUGAAGCCGAGGGGUUUUUCAGGCUGCUUCUGUUCCUUUAUGCUCCUUGCUAGUUUAAGGAAGUCAGUUUCCCACAGUUAUGGGACUGAAGUCCUCACUCCUUAGUUGACUAUUUUUAAAAUUAGUUCUUUGAGGAUUUGGCAACAUGUGAUUUUAUCAAUUCAUUCUUCACAGAGACUUCUUCCCAUAAACUCCUCACAGAUCCCAUUUCCCAUGCCUGAGGCACCCAAAUGUGUGUCCUUAUAAAAAAAAUACCUGUUAAGUCAAAUUUAUGCUGCCCAUAUAUUUCUGGGUAUGUUUCUGGGUAUAACAUUCCACCACAGUAUGGCCAUGUUAUCAGGGGUUAUUCUUAAACCAGUUCCUCUUCUCAAAGAAGCUAUCAGUUGCCAAUAGCUCCCUGGCUACUGAUGGGCCUUCACUGCCAACUCCCCUUUUCAUGUUUAGAUUUAGUCAUUAGGAGGCAAUUUUACUCUUAUAUCCAUUUAUCAGAAAAAUAGUAAUAGGAUAACUGAGGACCACUCUUCCCUCUUUGGAGGUCCCUAGUAGUCUCUUUCUGACUGACUUGUCUGACUUGUCAAACUGACUGUCUGACCUGCUUUCCUUUCACAGGUACACAUGCCUAGCCAUGUAUGAUAAUCUACAAAUGUGAAGUUAACUCACAGGUUUGGAUUCUGUGGUGUCUCUAUCAUGGCUCCUAUGUCAUUGUUGACUUGAGUACAUAAAGACAGGUAUAUGCAUGGGGUUGGAAUUCUUGGGAGGGCCCCUGACUACCUCCUCCACACUCCAUCAGCUGAAAUGAAUCCUUAUAUUUUAGUAACAUAUAGCUGAAUAUUUACAGCCAAAAUAAAGUUGAGUUAUUCAUGCAUAUUUAGAUAAAGUUGUUGGUGUCCUUUUUCCCUUCAGAAAGUUUUUGUUCAAGUUUCCUUUUGAGAUUGUAUUUUAGUUACAACUCUCCCUUAUCCCUUUCAAACUUGCCCUUCAAUUUCAUCAAUUCCCUUAUUUUUCAUCAAUUGUAAUUGGAUGCAUAUAUACAUAUAGCCAAAUAUCCUGUUGAAUCUGUAAUAUGUUACUUAUAUUUAUGUUUGUUUAUAGGGCUGGACAACUAGUUGGUAUGCUUUCUCUGCGGAGGUUUAUCUCUUCUGCUCCCAGAGAUAUUCAAUUACCUGUAGUUCUUUGUGUAGAUUUGAGGCCUCAUGGUCUUUUCCUAAUUGAGUUGGGCAUGUUUGUUUGUGUCCUGCUUGUUCAUCUCAUGGGGAUGGUCUUGUUGGUGAGACUUUGCCAGUGUAAUUUCUGAUGCUAGUAGAAGACAAAGCUCACAACAAAGUCCCUGCUGGCUCUUAUACUCUUUCUGUUCCCUUUUCUACAGUCUUCCCUGAGCCUUAGGUCCAGUAAUGUACUGUAAAUGUAUCCUAUGGGACUGGACUCCAACACUAUGUAUACUGAUUUGUUGUAGUUUUCUGUGGGUGUCUUUCAACCAAUUUGUGCUUCAGCUCAGCAUUUUAGCAACUGCUACACUGCUGAAGAAAAUAACUCCUCUCUAGCAACCAUUAAUUGCCAAUAAAUCUUCAGAGAAGGACAGGGUUUCUUAAGACCUUCCUCUAUCCACCACAUAGUGUUAGUGGGCCCAAAUUAACAAAAAAUAUUACAUAUGGUUGUUCAAGUAUAAAUGUUAAAUAUUAUAGAUUUUAUGCAAUUUAUGCCUAUGCCAUACAUAGGUGGCAGAAUUCUCACUAAUAUGAAGAUGAAUACUUUGCACUUAGAUUGUGUAUCUUGUAUGGAAGAAGGCUUAUGUGAUGGGACUGAAGCACAAGAAGGUUUCAACUAUUGUUCUGUUUUUAAGUGGGUUUGAAGUACAACAUAUGUAUAUGUAAACACUGUAUGAAUAAAUGCUGUAUAUUUUGUAUAAUACAUUUCAUAUUAAAAUAUUUUAAGAGAGAUUUAAAUACGGUGAAAAGAAAAAAAUUUGCAUUGGCAAAGACCAAAAGUAAAAAAUGAGAAGUACAUAGGCCCAACAACAACAACAACAAAAAAACAAAAACAAAAACAUGAGUUGAGGAACCCAAAUAAUAACUUGAGUCAAUGAAAGGAAUGACUUUUCAGUAUAAGAUCCAGUAUCAUGAAAAUGUCCAAGAUAUAGUGUAAAAUGUCAAAUUUAUCAGAAUCCUCUGCUAACUUUUUAUGUGGUGACUUUCAACUUGAUACAAACAAAGCAGUUGUAAGUUCUUUCAUUAUUUCCAUGAAAUGUCUUUCUUUCAUUUUUAAAUCUUCUUCUGAAAAGUGAAACUGACUCCAGUAGUUGGAUAGCAUCUCAUUGUCCACCUGGAGUGAACACACAGUUGAUGGAUGGGGUCUGUACUCCUCUGGUCCUGCACUGGAAGUCUGUCUCCAGCUGCAGCAAAUAUUCAGUCCUGUUGCAACCCAUGCAUUUAAAGAAUGUGACCGGAAAAGAGGCCUGAGCUCCCCCUCUAAUUUCUCAAAUAAUGUCUGUGAAUAAAGCAACUUCACAACUUUAUUUCUUAAUUAAGAAAGUGCCAUAUUUGGAAAAGGUUUUAAGUGACAGUGUUUGUCAAGCUGUUUGUUUAGUGAUCUCUCUGGAUGCACUGUUAGACAAAACUGUCCUAAUUAAGGUUAAUUGGGACAUAAUUAAAGUCACUGCUGAUGGGAGAGCUCCUAUGGGUGGUAACACAGUAAGGAUCCUUAAUGUUCAUACUUUUGAACUAAGGCAAGGCAAAGCAACCAAAUUUCAAAACAUGCUUUGUUUCCAACACAGGCUAUGUAGGCUUCUUAUAUAUUUCUCUUCUUUCAACUCCUUCUAGAUCCUCCCUAUCUUCAUAUUCACCCAAAUUCAUGCUCUCUCUCUAAAAGAAAAACAAACUGAAACAAAGCCUCCGUACCACCAACAAAAAUAAACAAAUAAAUAAAUAAACAAAAUAGAGUCUAUAAGACUCAGCUCAAAUUUAGUUAAUUCAUUUUGUGUUGUCUUUGAACUGCUGACACAAAUUUCAAUUUUAUUCUUUCAUGACUCUAGUUUCCUUAACACCAUUUAUUGAGAUAUUACCAGUUCUUCAUAGUGUUUUCUUAUGCUCUCUUAAAAACUUGACUUGUUGAUUGCACAUAUUCUGUUUAUAUGUCUGUUAUAAAAUGACUGAAAUAUUUCCAUUAUAACUUUGUAAUGUAACUUGAAGGAGUAUGCUGCUCAAAGCUUUGUUUUAUUUCUCAGAAUUGCUUUGGCUAUAGCUUCGUGGUCUGUUUAAGUAUUACAUGCAUUUUAGAACUUUCUUUUUUCUCUGAAAAUCUCCAGUAGAACUAUCAUAAAUAUUGUACUGGAUCUAUGUCCUGUUUGGAUGGUAUAGAUGUUUUAGCAAUACUACUUCUAACUAUGUACAAUUUAAAUGUGUCUGUUCAUUUAUGUAUUUUUUAUGUUUUAAAGAUUUGCAUAUUUUAUGUCUAAAAGAGUUUUGUCUACAUGUAUUUCUGUGCCUACAUACUUACCUGGAUCUGGAGUGUCAGACCCCCUGGAGCUAGAAUUAUAGGAGGCUGUAAGGCAACCACUAUUAUGAGAACUAAACAUGAAUUCUCUGCAAGAGCAACAAGUGCUCUUAACCACUGAUAUAAUUCCUCUCCCCAGGUCCUACUUUUCCCUCUUUAACAUCUUUUAUCCAUGUUUUAGUUUUCAUUGUUUUCCUUACUUAACCAGAUUUAUUCAUGAUUAUUCUUUUGUGUUUGAUCCUACUGCAAAUGUGAUCAAAGCAAUUCAGAUUCCAUCCUCACAGCAGCACAAGAACAAAACCAAUCAACCCAAAACAAAACCUCCACACAUGCAUAGAAACAAAACAUACAGACACAAUGAAGUAAAUGAAUCCUACUUUUUAACCUUUCUCUUCCUCAUCCUUCUUAUUUUUUCAGUGACAAAUGUAUUUCAUUCUUUAUUUAGAUGUUGAAGCUCUUGCACUAAGUUUUCACAAGCUGGCAAACACUGACAAAUUAUUUCUAGACAAUAUUAAUAUAUGGCUGAAAUAAUAUUAAUACACAUCACCAUCUUAUCGAUUGCAUAAUAAAACAAAUGAUCAAGUAUCCAAUUAUUAAGUUACAUAGUUGAAAAGGCAUAUAAAACAUGUCUGCUCAGUUCAUUAGCAGAUCCCACGUCUUCUUUUUCUGCAAGAGAGGUUGGGAAGAGAAGGGGAAAACCAUAAUUCAAGCAAGUUGGAAGACAACUUCUAAUAGCUACAGAAAAAGACAAGAAUUUUAGAAAUUUUGAUUAAGAAUUAGUUAGCUACAACAAUGUAUCUCUACCUUUUAAAAUGUUUACUGAAUUAAAGAGCAUAUUUUGCACAAGACAAAGGCAACAUCUUACUAAAAAUAUUUAAUAGCCUCCUCCCAUUCUUUUUAUCAGGCCCUCCCUGUUAUGUUGCACCUUUGAGUGUAAACAUUAAAUUAGCUAUAAGGCUUUUUGUCUGGUGACAUUAUUGAAGAUAUGUGCUUCUGUAACAAAGUCAAUUUUCAAAUAAAGGUUUCCCAUAACAGCAAAAAAUAAUAUCAAGACAUUAAGUAAUCAGCACAAGACUUGCUAAAAAAAUAUUGAUGGCUAAGCAAGCCUGAUGUAUACUGGUAUGAGUGUGGGAGAUGUAAACAUAGAGUGAGCAGGCAGAUAAUGAGAAAAGCCCUGCAGUGUUUGAGAUGACUGAAGAAAUAAACCAUGGAAGGUCUAGAGUGUUCUUAGGUCCUGGAAUUUUGGUUCUGUACAAUGUUAAAAUAUAUACAGGUAUUACACUGGGUAUCUUGGCACCUAAUCUUUCCAAAUUCCUUCUCUACUAACAAUACUCUGGCAUAGGAGUAAAUUUAAGGACAUAAUUCAAUACUGUAUUUUAGGAAAGGUCAAUUGGUGCAAAUAAUAAGCGCAUUUUAAAUGCUGACCCGCAAAGAUCUUUUGCUAAGUGUCCAAAUGGGUUGAUCAUAACUCAAAUACAGAGGUUGCAAUUCCAUCAAGCUUGUGGCCUGUUUUUAAUAUUACUGUGGAAGCUUGGGUAGACGUAUUCAAAAAGGUGACAAAUUGGUUAAUUACGUAUGACAAAUAAGAUCCCAUCUGAAGCUCUACUCCCAAGGCCAUAGCAUCAGGCACCACAGUUGUUUCUAUGACCAUUGGAAUCCUUGCAGUGCAGCCACAUCUUAGGAUGGUACUUCUCCAGAUAUAAAAGUUGCUUGCUAUUAAAAUCUCCAUGCUGCUUUUGUCUUAUGAACUGUACUGCAUCUUCAUAUUUCAUUCCCCCUUCAAUUAAUGGAAGGGCAACAAGCACUGGAGCUCUGCCAAGGUCUGCAAAACAAUGGAUAGCAAUACAGCAGCAAGGUUCUUCACGAAACUUAAUCUUUACAAGACUUAACCAAUCAUCUACAAACUGGUUGGAUGGUGGUGUACCAUCUUCAAAGGCCAAUCAAGAACACGAAUGAAUGCCUUCCUUCUCCACAAGAGUAGUGCUGUAAGUUGCUUCACAAGCUCUUACUAUUGUGGUAACUCCAUACUUCUUAACUUCCUCUCUAAAUUUGUUUAAGGUCAAAUUGGUUGGAUUGUGUGUACUAAGGAAUCUCAUGUUCUUGUACGUGACUCCCACAGUAGCAGGACAGUUCAUUCGAGUCAUGAUACUUUAGUUUUUUAAAAAAAAUCCCAGAGGGUUAUGAAAUAAUUAAAAAAUUGAAUACAGAAAUGACGCAAUAAAAUAAAAAUAAAAAACAGCACAAACAAACAAAAACCAACCUGAGGUCUACUUCAAUAUCCAACUUGAAGUUCCCAGUGAUUUGAGUAUGAAAUUGGGAGAAAUGGACAAUGAAAUGAACCUCCUAACAAGAAGCAGUGAUUCUUCAAUCCAGUAAUGCUAAGGCAAUACAAAGGAAGUGCACUGAGGUUUACCCCAUCCAGGUCUGAGCUCUUAUUAAAAUACACUGCAGAUUUCAAUUCAACAUGUCUGUGUCCAGGUUAUCCACUUUUAUGGGGGCUUCUUGGUGGAGUAAAAACGAAUUUCUAAAGUUCACUUGUCUGUAUAGAGGUCAUGCUGUGCUUGGCAGUAAUCUCCACUGCCCUUCAGAAACUCCAUAAAUGUGUGACCAAGAAUCCCACAGAACUGAAGAAUAUGUCUACUCAUUGAAGAUCGUGGUCUAAUCAUACAGCCAAUGCCUAGGUGGGGCAGGUGGUGGCAGUAGGCAGUAGGGCAGGCAGGAAAGGGGGUGGGGCAGUGAUGCUGGUGGCAGGGCACCAGAUGACCAUGCAGUGAGCUGCCCAAGGAGUGUCCCUGAGCUGGCCAGAGGCAAUGAGCUAACCCCUGAGAUACCAUCUUACAAUGGGCAGAAUGGCUAAAAUAAAAAACAUUAAUGGCAGUCUAUGCUGGAGAGGAUGUAGAGAAAGAGGAAAACUCCUCCAUUGCUGGUGGGAGUGCAAACUUGUACAACCACUUUGGAAAUCAGUAUGGCUGUUUCUUAGGAAAAUGGAAAUCAGUCUACCUCAAGAUCCAGCAAUUCCUGUCUUGGGCACAUUCAAACAAUAAAGAUAUAUGUUCAACUAUCUUCAUAGCAGCCUUGUUUGUAAUAUCCAGAACCUGGAAGCAGCCUAGAUGCCCCACAACUGAAGAAUGGAUAGAGAAAACGUGGUACAUUUACACAAUAGAAUACUACUCAGAGGAAAAAACAAUGGAAUCUUAAAAUUCACAGGCAAAUGGAUAGAACUAGAACUAGAGGUAAACCAGUCACAAAAAGACAAACAUGUUAUGUACUCACUCAUAUUUGGAUUUUAGACAUAGAGCAAAGGAUUAUCAGCCUACAAUCUACAUUCCAGAGAAGCUAGGAAACAAAGAUAACCCCAAGAGAAGAUUGCAUGGUUCCUCAAAGAAGAGGAGGAGGACAAGAACCCCUGAGCAAAUUGGGAGCAAGCUGGGGAGAGGAAGGAGGUGGGAGGGGGAGAUGGGUAAAAGGAGAGGGGGAAGGAGAACAAGAGGACUGAGAUAGGGGAGGAAUAGAGGAGGGCAAGAAAGAAGAUGCCUUCCUAGAGGGAGAUGUAGGGAGACACUGUAGCCCAGCCUCCUAGUAUCCUGGACUGGUGUGCCAGGACAUGCCCGUGAGGGUGUGGUGAGGGGAAGUCUAGGGUGAUGCGUGCACACGUGGAGAGCCUCUUCUCCCUUCUCCCUUCUCUCUGGCCUGGCUGCCCUGUUGCCCCUGGCCCGCUUUGGCUUGUGCUUGGCUGGUGUUACUUGAAUAAAGAAACCUUAGCCUUACGGACUGGAUUGAUCUCGCAUCAGAGAGACAGUACAGGUUUGGAGAGAGGUCUGGCACAGGGGAAGUGUUAGGAGAUCCACAGAGGUGACCCCAACUAAGAAUCUAGGCAGUAGUGGAGAGGCUGCCUUUGAUGCCCUUUCCCUAUAAUGAGACUGAUGACUACCUUCAUUAUCAUUCCUAGAGCCUUCAUCCAGUAGCUGAUCGAAGCAGAAACAGGCACCUACAGCCAUACUCCUGGAAUCCAGGUGUAGAGAGGGAGGAGGGAUGAGCAAAGGAGCCAAGACCAUGCUGGAGAAACCCAUAGAAACAGUUGACCUGACAUAGUGGGAGCACAGAGACCCUAGCCAUAAAGCUGGGGAACCAGCAUUGGACCACACCAAGCCCUGGGAAUGUACACACCAGCUAGGAGGCCAAGAUACUCUAUGGGACUUCUAACAGAGGAGCCAGUGUUUAUCCCUAGAGCACAAAUGGGUUUUGGGAGCCCAUUCCCUAUGGAGGGAUACUAUUGCAGCCGAUAUAUAGGAAGGAGGGCCUGGGCCCUCCCCCAAAUGAUGUGAGGGGCUUUGAGUGUCCCCCAUGGAGGGCCUCACUAUCCCUAAGGAGGAGGUGGGUGGUGGUUGGUUGGGAGGAUGGGAUGGUAAGGAAAUGGGGGGAUGGAUAUGUAAAUAAGAGUGUUUCUAAAAUUAAAAAAUUAAAAAAACAGAAGUGGGGUGGGUAGGAAGACAGGUAUACAGGAAUAGAGAAAAGAAGGAUUUGUUUUAUGGAUACAUACAUGAUUUUUAAAUCACUUUUUUUAUUUUAAAACAAUCUUUACCCAUUUUAUAUACCAAUCCCAGCUCGCACUUGUUACAAUAAAUCUUUCCGCCAAAAGCCACCCAAGCCCCACUGCCACAUGUGUACUCUACGCCAGCUGCCCACCAAGUUAGGGCCCAAAUAAAUACAGAGAGACUUGUAUUAGGUAUAGUGUUGCUUGGCCAAUGACUAGGAUCCUUAUCUGUUAGCUCAGUCUCAAUUAUCAUACAUCUAUAUAUUUUAUAAGACUUAUCUUAUCAGACGCCUUCUUGGCGUCCCUCCUUGCUGGUGAAUCACAUCCCACUGCUGGAGCAGGAACAGGAAAAGAGAGCGACACUUCCU
rnacentral:lncRNA from 1 species